GAGACGCUGCGCGGCGGCAGCAGCGGGCGCGAGCUGCAGCUGUCAGGCCACCGAGGUCCAAGCCGCACUUGCUGCCCCAUUGAGAACGAGGAGGCAGCAGGAGCAGUGACGGUGACACUAAGAAGCCGGACUCCCGGCACGCAGAACUGACCUACCUGGCACCCGCGGCCCUCUACUGUUUCCUUCCCAUUGUGUUGGCACCCUAAAAAGAAAGAAUAAAACAGCAACAGGAAAAAAAGGAAAAUAUUUAAAUUGUGACAAAAACCCACUGGAUAAGCCAGCUGCAGAAUAUAUCAUGAGGUACCUGCUUUAUGGAAUUACUCACACUAUUCACCAACAAGAAGAAUAAAGUCAGUCAAUUCAGGGAGUCCCAGAACAGGAGCACAUAGACACCAAACUUUGUGGGACAACAAAUAUAAUGAAGAGCAUGUUUGCUUCUUUCAAACAAAGCCAUGUGAAGUCAAGGCCCUUAACACCCACCUCUCCCACAUACUGAGGGGAGAAUUCAGUUGCCCACUGCAGUCAGCCAGUCAGACUGCACACUCCUUGCCUCCACUCCAGUUUACCCUGGGAGACCUCUCUGCUACGGUUGAAUCUGAGAGAGAUCCUUGAGUAACGAAUUAAGGAAUGAACGAAUGUUGCUCUGGACAAAGCUGCACCUUCCACAUCCUGCAUAACUACACUCAGUGCUGACCCUGAAGAUAGGAAAAGCAAUACAACUGGUGCUAGAAAUGUUAUGAGAAUGACUUGGAUGACCUGAAAAAUGAAUGAGCUUCUUGAACAAGCUCCUUGGAAACCACAGGGUUGUCAUGGUAGCUGUUAUCAAGGAGAAGGGAGUGAGAAGAUGCUGACAACACCCUGUUUCUCUUCCCUAACGAGGUGUAAGGCCAGAUGCCCCCUUCGUCUACACAGAUUCUAUGCUCCCUUAUGCUGCUUGCCUGGAAUUUCACUUUGCUACAGAGACAUCUGGAAAUGUGGAUUGAGGGUGGAAAUAAAAUGAAGAUGUGCUG